rnacentral:rRNA from 1 species
AACGAACGCUGGCGGCAUGCCUAACACAUGCAAGUCGAACGAGACCUUCGGGUCUAGUGGCGCACGGGUGCGUAACGCGUGGGAACCUGCCCUUAGGUUCGGAAUAACUCCCCGAAAGGGGUGCUAAUACCGGAUAAUGUCUUCGGACCAAAGAUUUAUCGCCUUUGGAUGGGCCCGCGUUGGAUUAGCUAGUUGGUAGGGUAAAAGCCUACCAAGGCGACGAUCCAUGGCUGGUCUGAGAGGAUGAUCAGCCACACUGGGACUGAGACACGGCCCAGACUCCUACGGGAGGCAGCAGUGGGGAAUAUUGGACGAUGGGCGAAAGCCUGAUCCAGCAGUGCCGCGUGAGUGAUGAAGGCCUUAGGGUUGUAAAGCUCUUUUACCCGGGAUGAUAAUGACAGUACCGGGAGAAUAAGCACCGGCUAACUACGUG